rnacentral:rRNA from 1 species
UGUCUCCUAAAUAGAGACUAGUAUGAAAGGCUAAAUGAGGGCCUAACUGUCUCCCAUAUUUGAUCAAUGAAACUGAUCUCUCAGUACAAAAGCUGAAAUACACCCAUAAGACGAGAAGACCCUGUGGAGCUUUUAAUUAACUCACUACUUAUACAUCUAGCAUUAAGAUAAUGACAAAUUUAAGUUGGGGCAACUUUUUAAAAAAAGAAAACUUACAAGACAAUAAACUUUAUCGCCAAGGAUUACAGCCCAAAGCGCUAUUUACUAGACCCAGUAUAAACUGAUCAACGAACCAAGUUACCCCAGGGAUAACAGCGCAAUCCUCUUCAAGAGUCCAUAUCGCCAAGAGGGUUUACGACCUCGAUGUUGGAUCAGGACAUCCUAGUGGUGCAGCCGCUACUAAGGGUUCGUUUGUUCAACGAUUAACAGU